GUAAUUUGUGCAAUGUAAAACUGUAACGUUGAGUAAAAGAGUCGCGUACGGUGACGAGUUAAGGACAAUUUUAGGCUGGAUGGAGACGAGUGUCCCACACGCAAAGAAACUAAAGACAACGUUUAAACCGUCGUGGGCGUGUUGAUAUGGAAAUAAAAUCGAGUCAUUGUCAACCGGACGAGUUUCACACCUAUUAAAGAUUCCAAUCAGUAAUGUUAGUAAUGUUAAUGUUUCCUUGUUUUAAAACAUUACUGACUCUGAACGUAUUGCUGCCUCAUACACACAAAUGUCCUGUACGGCUAUGGUCACCAACUUUCCCAAAAUAAAAGAUUUCAUUGACUUGUCGACGUGUGUGAAGAAUUGCAAAGCACACGAGUGGUGGUCACGGCAGUGCUGAAGCUUAAUUUUCCCAGCUAUAAUCGGGCGGGAGACAGGGGAGAGCCUGAAGUGGUCGCCAGCCAAUCCCAAGUCACAAAGGAAUGCAAAUGCCAUUGAUCCACU